UACGGCCAUAUCACGUUGAAACACCAGUUCCCGUACGAUCACCGAAAUUAAGCAACAUCAUACCUGGUCAGUACGUAGAGGGGUGACUACUUGGGAAUACUGAUGGUGUUG